UACGGAGGGAGCUAGCGUUGUUCGGAAUUACUGGGCGUAAAGCGCACGUAGGCGGCUUUGUAAGUUAGAGGUGAAAGCCCGGGGCUCAACUCCGGAAUUGCCUUUAAGACUGCAUCGCUAGAAUUGUGGAGAGGUAAGUGGAAUUCCGAGUGUAGAGGUGAAAUUCGUAGAUAUUCGGAAGAACACCAGUGGCGAAGGCGACUUACUGGACGACUGUUGACGCUGAGGUGCGAAAGCGUGGGGAGCAAACAGG
rnacentral:rRNA from 1 species